rnacentral:lncRNA from 1 species
GGAGGUUUUCAAAUUUAAGUAACAAUAUUUGAAAUGAGAUUAUUUAUCUAGUUCAGAGUCGCCACUUAGGAUAGGUUUGACUCUUAGUGUCCCAAGUCAUCAGUUUAUCUUGAAUCCCAAUUCGAGGAAAAUAUUCGACUUUCCGAGUGAAGUCUGCAAACCAGAAAUUCUAAGUAAGGAAUUCUGUUAACUCGAGGGAAUGUGUUAGGUACCCCCGGAUCCCGUGGUUCUAGCAUGAUCGCUUAAACCAUUAUAAAUGGCUAAAAUCUGAUUUUUAUACAUGUUCAUCCUAUAAUGCAAUUUUAA